GUAAAGUGGCGCACGGGUGAGUAACACGUGGCUAACCUACCCUGGAAUGGGGGAGUAACUGAGGGAAACCUUAGCUAAUACCGCAUAACACCUACGGGUCAAAGGAGCAAUUCGCUCUAGGAGGGGUCGCGGCCGAUUAGUUAGUUGGCGGGGUAAUGGCCCACCAAGACAAUGAUCGGUAUCCGGCCUGAGAGGGCGCACGGACACACUGGAACUGAAACACGGUCCAGACUCCUACGGGAGGCAGCAGUGGGGAAUUUUGCGCAAUGGGGGGAAAAACCCCCUGACGCAGCAACGCCGCGUGGAGGAUGAAGUCCUUCGGGACGUAAACUCCUUUCGAUCGGGACGAUAAUGACGGUACCGGAAGAAGAAGCCCCGGCUAACUUCGUGCCAGCAGCAGC
rnacentral:rRNA from 1 species